rnacentral:lncRNA from 1 species
AUCAACAUGCACAUAUAAAUUAUAUCAUUAAUCAUAAUGAUUUCUUUCAGUAUUCAUAUGUAGUUUCUUGGGAAUCCCACUGUAAUUCAGCAUGAAUUAAUGUCCACUUAUUGGAAAGCACUACCUACACUGAUCUUUCUAGGGGAAAAAACCAACAACUGUGAUGCAUCUUAAACUACAGCCUAAAUGACCGGGGUGCUGGUAAACAGCCACCAAAGGAGCGUCGCCGCAGGAGCCCAGUUUCUCAAGCUUUGACAUAAAGUCUUUCAGAGCCCUGGAUCCCUGUCAAUGUCAUGCUGAAGCUCAAGUGACUGAAGCAAUCCAUCGUGCUGCCACAGGAGAUUGGUGCAGAGCUGGGACAGCCAGGGGGAUGCAGGAGGCACAGGGAAGGAGAGGGACAGACCCUGGGAGGUGGGCAGCACCUGGGAGGGGGACACAGGUAGUGCUGCUGUUAGCACUUCCUAUUUUAUAGAAUCAUGACAUGGUUUAGUUAGAAAGAAUCUUAAACACCAUCUAGUUCCAACCCCUUAGCCAGGGACAGGGACACCAUCCACUUCUCAUGUUUUAUGUUGCUUCUGACAAAUAGAAACCUAGAUAAAGAGAGAGUGAUAUCAUCCUUGGAGUGGGGAAAAAACAACCCCACAGCUGAGUCCAGGAGGUGUGAGCAGGGGAAUCUUAAAGAUAAAGGGUGAAAUAGAG